rnacentral:lncRNA from 10 species
GAAUUGAAUGAAAAAAAUUUUGAAAAUUCAAAAAAUCAACGAAAAGGAAUCUUAGGCAGGAAGAUCUUCCAAAAAAAAAAAAGAAGAAUCAGAAAUGCAGAACAUAUUGAAUGAAUUUUAUGGAAUUUCAAGGGUAAAAAAGAGGAACCACAGGAAAAGGAGAAAUAGGAGCAGAAAAAAAGAUAAGAGUGCAUAAGAGGAAAAGGAAGUGAUUGUCAAUGGCACAUAAAGCAGGUACUUCAAGCAGGUGAAGUCAUGUACCUCAUAC